rnacentral:rRNA from 1 species
AAUAGAUACCCGGGUAGUCCACGCCGUAAACGAUGUCGACUUGGAGGUUGUGCCCUUGAGGCGUGGCUUCCGGAGCUAACGCGUUAAGUCGACCGCCUGGGGAGUACGGCCGCAAGGUUAAAACUCAAAUGAAUUGACGGGGGGCCCGCACAAGCGGUGGAGCAUGUGGUUUAAUUCGAUGCAACGCGAAGAACCUUACCUACUCUUGACAUCCAGAGAACUUAGCAGAGAUGCUUUGGUGCCUUCGGGAACUCUGAGACAGGUGCUGCAUGGCUGUCGUCAGCUCGUGUUGUGAAAUGUUGGGUUAAGUCCCGCAACGAGCGCAACCCUUAUCCUUUGUUGCCAGCGGUUAGGCCGGGAACUCAAAAGAGACUGCCAGUGAUAAACUGGAGGAAGGUGGGGAUGACGUCAAGUCAUCAUGGCCCUUACGAGUAGGGCUACACACGUGCUACAAUGGCAUAUACAAAAGAGAAGCGACCUCGCGAGAGCAAGCGGACCUCAUAAAGUAUGUCGUAGUCCGGA